rnacentral:lncRNA from 1 species
UACAACAGAGCAGGCUGCUGUGACCCAGUCUUAUGCUUCAGGAACUGCCGAGUACUGUUGGCGAAGGGGACAGCGUGCGCAGUGGGUGGCAGCUACAGAGGCCCCCCGGUCUAGGAAGGGCCUCCUGGGAGAAGUUCUUAUUUUAAGUUGGAAUCCGGGGCUUCCAGUCAGCUUUGCCAGCAGCUGCAACCCAUCUGAACCUCAGUUUCUUCUGAGAAACGAGGGCGAAUUCAGCCUUCAGACAUGUUGUAUUUGGCAGUGUUUUUAAGUUUUUACUUAAUUGCCAAUAUUUAAAUAGUGAGAAAUUUAUACAAAAAUAAAGAAUUUAGGGGCCAGAAUCAUCAGGCCAGGACGUUGAGAGAGGCCUGGAGAAGAACCCGCAGCAGCUCCAUGUAUUGAGAUAGGGAGGUAAGAAAAGUCAGAGCUGAUAUCUAAGCUGCGGGUGCUGCCCGACUUUUUGAAAAAGAGGAUCAAAAGCAAAAGAAAACUAGGGGAAUCUGGUCCACCCAGCAACCAUUGAGGAUGAGCACUGGCUGUUGUUUCAGGUGGGGCUGGCCCUCUCCAGCUCACCACAGUCUUGGCGGGGCCUACUUCCCUCAUUUAAGAUUCCUGCCUGCCCCUAUAGCCUUUGAGUUUAUGAGCCUUGAACUAGACAUUUCCUUUAGCUCUAACAUGCAACAAAAACAAUAGCUACCACUUAUCAAAUGGUUCCAGUGUGCCAGGCACUGUGGCAAGCAAUUUACAUGUUAGCUCGUUUCAGACUUCCAAACUCUUGUAAGCAGGAUCAUUAACCUUGCUUUUUAAAUAAGGAAACUAAAGCUCAGACCUGCAGGUAAGUUUGCUCACUGUCACACUGACCAGUAAGCAAGAGUCAAGACUUGAACCUGAGGCUGCUUAGGUCCAAGGCCUGAUUCUAACUAUCACACUAUCCUGACAUGUUCAGGGUAUCUCUGUCAGCCUAACUUCAGUGCACCUGCAGCCAGAACUGUAGCUGUGUUUUGUAAAUUUUAAAACCCCAUAUUUGUGAGCUAAGCUGCAGAAAUGCAGGUGAGUGUGUGCCCAGAGAGCAGAUCAGGAGAUGGGGAGGUGAUAGGGAACAUGGUCAGUCUCCUGUGAGGCCAGGAUGUUUGAGAUUGCCUUGGGGAGAACCUCCAGCUGCUCCUAGUGCUGAGACCGGCAGGUGGGAGGUGAGAGC